CUGGGCGACCGUAAGGUACUCCAUUCGCUCAGAUUCUGGGCGUUUUGCAAGUUUGGGCGAUGAUGUUACCAUGUUCGUGGGCUUCCAUUGCAUUCCUCAAUAAUCCUGUUUGGACAUUUAUCCUGGACUCUCCAAUUGGGUUUCACUCUUUGGACUAUUUGAUUUGGGUUGCAUUUUUAGUGUGUCAACAGGUAUAAUUGAACAAUAUGAUUAAGCUCCACACAGUUCAAAACCAAGUUCAAGACAAAAAUCAGAAGGAAAUUUUUUUCGCAAUAAGGUGGGUAUGAGCUUGGUUAUUUAAUCGUGUAUUGCUUUGAACAAUGGAGAGACACACAAUAGAGUAGUCAGUUGUCAAUUUUCCAAACUUAUGAUGUUCGGAGAGAACAAAAACUGAGGACAAAGGCUUUAUCAAGGGAGAAAAUCUUGAUGUUUGUCAUUCUCUUGACGGAAUUAUACUCCUUCCGAGGUGGAGGGGGAUAUUAGUUGGGCGACAUGAAGUGGACAAAAACAAACACAAGGCAUUUUAAUGUUAAAUCUUAUACUAUACAGGAGAGUUGCACCUGAGAUUUAGCAAAAGAGAAAAGUUCAGAGGGUGGAACGUAGCCAGAAGCACACUUGAGGGACUUUCCGGCAGAGGACAGAUAAUCAGAGUAGACAGUGAGGAGGAAUGAAGCACUUGUUACAAACUGCAUAUUGUUCCACCUCUGCCGGAAAAUGAGUCCUCCCGGAGUCUUUCGAACAUUGGCGGAGCCCUUUCCAAGGCAUGAGCACAUAAAGUACUCGGCUUUUUGCUGGUACUCUUCAAACACUGGUGUGUAAUGUCCACCUUUUUCCUUGCAUUAGGAACUGCAAAAAGAUGAC
rnacentral:lncRNA from 1 species